rnacentral:lncRNA from 1 species
AGUUAAAAAAAAUAGAUGAUGAUGUGGUAAAAUCUUAGAAUGUGUUAUUUAAUGUUUUAAUAACCAAACCCAUGGUUGAACAAGACCAUCAGUUCUCAAUUCAACUAGUUCGAUUGUCGAACCAACAAUAAUUAAAAAUUCAUAAAAAUCUAAAAGGAUAAGUAAAACUGAUCUUUUUAGAUUUUUAUAAAAUUUCAAUUAUUUAAUUAAUUAUUAUUGGUCUAAUAGUUGAACUGGUGGUCUAACAUGUUCAACAAUCGAUUCGGUUAUUAAGACAUUGAAUAUAUAACACUUUGAUAUUGCAUCAUAUCAUCAUCUAAAAAAAAUUGUUUUUCGAACUUAGAGUGUCACAUCAUCAAACUUUUAGAGUUUUUAAGUUCAAGGAUUAUAACGGACCUAACUGUCAAGUUCAGGUGCUAAAGUGAACAAAAAAUUACAAGUACCAAAGUGAAUCUAAUUAUCAAGUACAAAAAAUUACAUGCUAAAUUCAAUGGCCAAAAGUUACAUCAUUCCAUUUCUUUUUCACGGUCAUUAACAAAAUAGACUUGAAUAAAUAAUGGUUUUCAAAUUCAAAGGUAAAUAUAGAUAAAAAAAAAAAUUCAAGAACAAAUUUGAAGCUACUUACCAAAUUCAAUGGCUGAAAGAUUCGUUAUCCUUGUUAUAUAAUAUUGGUUGGGAAUUAUAAAUAGUUUCCUUCUAUUAAAAAUGAGAUUUGUUUAAAAUAAUGAUUAAUAAAAUGCAUUCAAAUCUGAACAUAUGUUUUUUCACUCCAAAUAACCACCGGAACGAAAUCUUAAAACCCUAACUGAGAUAAUUUCUCUUCUUAUUAAUGAUUAGUUUUAUUGGUUUUCUUUUUCAUUAUAUUUAUUUAUUUAUCUUUUUGGAUAGGCUGCUGUAAGAUAUUAGAAAACUUGUCAUUUUACUGGGAAUCUCUGAGAAAGAAAAUAUUAUGCAUUGCACAUUUUCGGUCAUAAAGAAAGAUGAAGAAAUUUCUUCUACGUUCCUUUACUCAUUUCACUCCGAAGGGUUGAAUGCAUCUCGUCUUCUUCAAUUAUUGAAGAUUGAUGAGACACUUGCCUUCCAAUUACUUCAUUAAUUGACCAUUAAGUUCUCUUGGAAAGAAAUGUAGGAUU